AGGAAGGAGAGGGCUUGUUUGUGAGAGCUGGGCCUGGGCUGGCUGCUCAGCAGGGAGGAGUCAGCCAGAUUAGAGAGCCUGCCCCUAAUCCGGCCUGCUGGGCUUUACAAGGAUCAGAGCAGCUGAUAAUGAACCUCAUUAAGGGGGAGCAGGAGCCUCAAUCCGAUCUGGGGUUUUCUCUUUGACAUCUUCACUCUGCUCAGAUGGCCUCGGCCCUGGGUGGACCAGGGCUCAGCAGCAUCGAUAAACCGGCUUCGCCCACCAGCUGGUCUCCUCCCCCACCCGGUCUGCCAGGCUGGGAGCCGGGGCUUCGGUGGCCUGAACUCCACCAGCCGUUCCAGGUUGUUCUCUGCACCCUGGAAGAGCUCCCCGGCAGGAGAGGGUCCUGCAAAGCAAAGGCUCCUGGUCCUGGGGCCGGACAGAGACACUUGCCUCCGCCUGCGAUGUUACCUACUGGGCAUUCAGGAACCAUCGCCUAGAGGAGGAGGAGGCAGCUGAGCUGGGUUUUGAAAGAUGAGUGGGGGUUAGCAAGGAAAAUAAGGAGGAAAAAUGCGUCACAGGCAGAGGAGAAAGCACGUGCCAAAUCCAACAAAGGAAAAAUAGUGAAUACAAGAAAUUCUAAGCAAAAAACUUUAAAAAAAAUUUUAAAGCUUUUUCAACGCUUACUAGGCUAGAAGCUGGGAAUAAACAGAGAAGAAAGACGUGGUCUCUGCUGUUAUGGAGCUUUCACUGUAGAGGAAAAGACAGACAAGGGAGAAAAAGAUGACAGAGUGUGGUAAGAGUGGUGAAGGACAGAGACCAGCCCAGGGUGGGGAGGCUUCUCCCAGACCUGAAGGAUGAGAAGGCGCGAAGUGGGAGGGGAGUGGGGGUUCCUGGGCAGGGGUGGAGGAACUGCAGGCCUGAGGGCCCACUUCAUUCAGAAGCCACCUGGGGGCUGAGGAGCUCCCAGAGGCGUGGCCCACCUUUGGCCUGGCUCCUCCCUCGCGGGCUCAGCACCAGGUCCAGGUGGGGAGCCCAGGUGCAGCCAUAAUCUGGGUGUGGGUAAGGAGUGGGCUCGGGGGACCC
rnacentral:lncRNA from 1 species